AGAGUUUGAUCCUGGCUCAGGACGAACGCUGGCGGCGCGCCUAACACAUGCAAGUCGAACGAGAGAGAGGAAGCUUGCUUCCUCAAUCGAGUGGCGAACGGGUGAGUAACGCGUGAGGAACCUGCCUCAAAGAGGGGGACAACAGUUGGAAACGACUGCUAAUACCGCAUAAGCCCACGGCUCGGCAUCGAGCAGAGGGAAAAGGAGCAAUCCGCUUUGAGAUGGCCUCGCGUCCGAUUAGCUAGUUGGUGAGGUAACGGCCCACCAAGGCGACGAUCGGUAGCCGGACUGAGAGGUUGAACGGCCACAUUGGGACUGAGACACGGCCCAGACUCCUACGGGAGGCAGCAGUGGGGAAUAUUGCACAAUGGGGGAAACCCUGAUGCAGCGACGCCGCGUGGAGGAAGAAGGUCUUCGGAUUGUAAACUCCUGUUGUUGAGGAAGAUAAUGACGGUACUCAACAAGGAAGUGACGGCUAACUACGUGCCAGCAGCCGCGGUAAAACGUAGGUCACAAGCGUUGUCCGGAAUUACUGGGUGUAAAGGGAGCGCAGGCGGGAAGACAAGUUGGAAGUGAAAUCCAUGGGCUCAACCCAUGAACUGCUUUCAAAACUGUUUUUCUUGAGUAGUGCAGAGGUAGAUGGAAUUCCCGGUGUAGCGGUGGAAUGCGUAGAUAUCGGGAGGAACACCAGUGGCGAAGGCGGCCUACUGGGCACCAACUGACGCUGAGGCUCGAAAGUGUGGGUAGCAAACAGGAUUAGAUACCCUGGUAGUCCACACCGUAAACGAUGAUUACUAGGUGUUGGGAGAUUGACCCUCUCAGUGCCGCAGUUAACACAAUAAGUAAUCCACCUGGGGAGUACGACCGCAAGGUUGAAACUCAAAGGAAUUGACGGGGGCCCGCACAAGCAGUGGAGUAUGUGGUUUAAUUCGACGCAACGCGAAGAACCUUACCAAGUCUUGACAU
rnacentral:rRNA from 1 species